AGUCUCUUUGGUACCGAAAAGAAUUUUUUU
rnacentral:rRNA from 1 species